AAAACACAACGAAAUGUGAUAAUUAAUAUAAAUUACAAAAUUCAGUAAAUCAUUGAGUUUUUGAACAUAUAUUACACCUAUUAGUAUUCCUUUGGGUAUGUCU
rnacentral:rRNA from 1 species